rnacentral:lncRNA from 1 species
GCAUCUUGGCCCCGGCCGGCGCGUUUUUCCUCCCCCGCCUUGUCGCUCUCUGGGACUGGAAGGGUUAACGCUCUGCUCUCAGCCCGGGAGCCCCUUGAUCUUGAUUAAUUCAGCCUUCGCGCUUAGGCCCGCCAGACGGGCGGGGGCUCUCGCUCGCUCACAGAGAGAAAAACAGUAAAAGCAAAGGAACAAUAUGCAGACAAGAUUCAGCCGAGGAUCAGAUAAAAGCAAAGAUUUCUCCCUGAAGCAAGAGCAAAUGGGAUUCUUGGCUUGUCUCUCAUCGUGAUCCUGAUUGAAGACCACUGGACACAUCUGUCAAGACUCUAACCGCAAUCCAUUGGAAAUCACUGGAGAGCCAAAGAACUCUCUUUCAUUGUCCUGGCUGGAAGCACUGGAUUCCUCCUUUCAAAUGAACUAAAAUAUUUUCCAAGAUGUCAAGUCAAUCUGGGCAAACUUUCUCAACAUAACCAUCCCUACAUUCCAAUAUCCCUCUUUUUCAUUUUUCCUUUAAAAAUAAACGUGCAUUUUUUUCUCAAAA